AUGGGGGAGCUGUCUUCCCAAACUACGUAUAGAAGAAAUGUUCUAUAUGUGGCUGCUAUGGACCUUAUCAAGGAGGCAGAAUCCGGGUCUGAGUCAUUCCAAACGGCGUUCGCAGCUAUAUGUGAGGCAAAAGAAAAAAUUGCAAGUAAGAAGGCUUCAGAUAUGCUUAUUGAUACUAUCGCCGAACAAGCAAAUCCUGUCCGGCAUACCAUAACUGAUGUUGGGUCAGAAACCCAUCUGCUUCCUCCACAACGUGUGCUGUCUAAAGGACGACCUAGCUCCCUUCGCCCAAAGAGUCGUAUGAAUUACAUUGUGGCUAAGAAAGCUAGAAAACACUACAAGGACGGCCCAUGCCAUGCUCAUGAAGAUACUGCCGGUCCAAUGCCACCCCCUCCAUCCAAAAAAAGGAUUGUGAAGUGUAGCCUAUGCAAGAUUCCGGGGCACACAAAGGGUAAUUGCACUGCUAGGGGAGUCUGA
rnacentral:rRNA from 1 species